ACUGGAACGGUAGCUAAUACCGCAUGAGCCUGAGGGUAAAAGAUUAAUUGUCUGUAGAUGAGCUCGCGUCCGAUUAGGUAGUUGGUGGAGUAACGGUUUACCAAGCCUGUGAUCGGUAGCUGGUCUGAGAGGAUGACCAGUCACACUGGAACUGAGAGACGGUCCAGACUCCUACGGGAGGCAGCAGUGGGGAAUUUUCCGCAAUGGGCGAAAGCCUGACGGAGCAAGACCGCGUGGGGGAGGAAGGUUUGUGGAUUGUAAACCCCUUUUAUGGUGAAGAGAUGACGGUGCCAUUGAAUCAGCAUCGGCU
rnacentral:rRNA from 1 species